rnacentral:rRNA from 13 species
GCCGGUCCCAAGGGUAUGGCUGUUCGCCAUUUAAAGAGGUACGCGAGCUGGGUUUAGAACGUCGUGAGACAGUUCGGUCCCUAUCUGCCGUGGACGUUGGAGAUUUGAGGAAAGCUGCUCCUAGUACGAGAGGACCGGAGUGGACGAACCGCUGGUGUUCGGGUUGUGUCGCCAGACGCAUUGCCCGGUAGCUAUGUUCGGACAGGAUAACCGCUGAAAGCAUCUAAGCGGGAAGCCCCUUCCAAGAUGAGAUCUCCCUGGACCUUUAAGGUCCCUGAAGAGCCGUUCAAGACCAGGACGUUGAUAGGUCGGGUGUGUAAGCGCUGCGAGGCGUUGAGCUAACCGAUACUAAUUGCUCGUGCGGCUUGACU